GACGAACGCUGGCGGCGCGCCUAACACAUGCAAGUCGAACGAGCGAGAGAGAGCUUGCUUUCUCGAGCGAGUGGCGAACGGGUGAGUAACGCGUGAGGAACCUGCCUCAAAGAGGGGGACAACAGUUGGAAACGACUGCUAAUACCGCAUAAGCCCACGGCUCGGCAUCGAGCAGAGGGAAAAGGAGCAAUCCGCUUUGAGAUGGCCUCGCGUCCGAUUAGCUAGUUGGUGAGGUAAUGGCCCACCAAGGCAACGAUCGGUAGCCGGACUGAGAGGUUGAACGGCCACAUUGGGACUGAGACACGGCCCAGACUCCUACGGGAGGCAGCAGUGGGGAAUAUUGCACAAUGGGGGAAACCCUGAUGCAGCGACGCCGCGUGGAGGAAGAAGGUCUUCGGAUUGUAAACUCCUGUUGUUGAGGAAGAUAAUGACGGUACUCAACAAGGAAGUG
rnacentral:rRNA from 1 species